GGGUGAUGCUCCAAUUUCUCUCUCCCUUUAUCACCUUGCUGCUCAGCAUUAUCACCAUUUCCAGGCAGCCAUUCUCCCCCACAUCUCCUCCCUCUUUUGACCUAUUUGACAGCUCACAGCUGUCCUACAAACUAUUCUGCUGACCCUGCUAUUGUUGGCCUCAUCACUGAUGGGGACAACAGAGAGUACAGAGAACUGACCCAGGACUUUGUGAUCUGGUACCAGUGGAACUGCCUCCAGAUCAACACUGGGAAGACCAAGGAGCUGGUGGUUGACUUCUGCAGGCCGAAACAUGGUCCUCUCACACCGGUGAACAUCCAGAGACUGGAUAUUUAGAUAGUGGACCACUCUUACAGAUAUCUGGGUGUUCAACUGAACAAUAAACUGGACUGGAUUCACAACACCAGUGUACUCUACAAAAAAGGACAGACAGGCUGUAUCUGCUAUGGAGACUCAGGUCUUUUGGAGUGCAGGGGGUACUCCUGAGGACCUUUUUAUGACUUUGUGGUGGCAUCAGCCAUCUUCUACGGUGUGGUCUGCUGGGGCAGCAGCAGCGUCUUCACUGCUGAUAGGAAGAGACUGAAAAGACUGAUCAGGAAGGCCAGCACCUACUGGUAUGCUCCCUCAACCCAGUGGAUGUAGUGGGUGACAGGAGGAUGAUGGCUAAUCUAUCAUCCCUGUUGGAAAACAUAGGGCGGGGCACUCUGACAGCACUGAACAACUCCAUCAACAUCAGGAUGCUGCACCCACGGUGUGUGAAGAAGAAAUAUCGCAGUUCUUUCCUUCCUGCUAAUGUCGGACUGUACAAAAAACACUGCACACAGUAGACCAUACACAAACAUACCAAAGACUGACAAAUCACCAUGUGCAAUAUCACUUAUCUGCUGCUAUUGUCUUGUGUUGUGUUAUAUUUAUUGUGUAAUUGUACAUAUUAUAUUGUUAUAUUAUUUAUCUUUUUACUUGGUACUGACAUUUCACAGUUUUUUCUUUCCUGUGCUGUCACUGCUAUAAUACUGCAAAUUUCCCCAAUGUUGGACUAAUGAAGAAAUAUCUUAUCUUAUCCCUUACUAUACUAUAACUUUUUAUGCAAUACAGUAUUAUGAGAUUUUUAUACCUUACUAUACUAUGACAUUUUUAUGCCUUACUAUACUAUGUUGUUUUAAUGACUUUUUAUGCAUUACUAUGAUGUUUUUAUGACUUUUAAUGCCUUUUUAUACUGUCGUUUUAAUGACUUUUUAUAUCUUACUAUACUAUGACGUUUUUAUGCCUUACUAUACUAUGAUGUUUUAAUGACUUUUCAUGCCUUAUUAUACUAUGAUGUGUUAGGGACUUUUUAUGCCUUACUAUACUAUGAUGUUUUAAUGACUUUUCAUGCCUUACUAUACUAUGAUGUUUUCAUGCCUGACUAUACUAUGUCGUUUUUAUACCUUACUGUACUACGUCGUUUUAAUGACUUUUUAUGCCUUAUUAUACUAUGACGUGUUAGGGACUUUUUAUGCCUUACUAUACUAUGCUGUUUUUAUGCCUGACUAUACUAUGCCGUUUUUAUAUCUUACUAUACUAUGUCGUUUUAAUGACUUUUUAUGCCUUGUUAUACUAUGACGUGUUAGGGACUUUUUAUGCCUUACUAUACUAUGUCGUUUUAGUGACUUCUUAUGCCUUACUUUACUAUGACGUUUUUAUGUCUGACUAUACUAUGUCGUUGUAAUGACUUUUUAUGCCUUACUGUAGUGUGACGUUUUAGUGACUUUUUAUGCCUGACUAUACUUUACCGUUUUUAUACCUUACUAUACUAUGUUGUUUUGAUGACUUUUUAUGCCUUACUAUAAUAUGACCGUGUUAUGAAUUUUUAUGCCUUACUAUACUAUGGCGUUUUUAUGACUUUUUAUGCCUUAAUAUUGUAGUGGAAAUUUAUAUCUUGUUACAUAUGCUUGUGCUAUAAAGUGUUUACUUGAAUGAAAUGGGGAUGGACAACUCUUUAUGGAUCACAUGUAACUGGUUGGAUUUUGUAUGUCUUUCCUGCUCAGUGUCUUACUACUCAGACACCCCUUUGCAAAGGCUUUUAAUAAAACCCACCAAAGACAA